CAUUAGCAUCCCCGAUAGGAACCCUAUCUUUAGCAAAAUUUUCCCACUCGAACCCCUUCGAAUUUCUUCCCUCCCCUUCUUUCUCACACUAUCAGAACCGAAUAGCCUGCAACACCUUUUCACUCACGAACCCUAGUAUUUCUCUACCUCCCCUUCUCCCUCCCCUUCUCUCUCGAGGUCUCUAUCUCUCUCUGUUCGGUGAUGUCUCUACUUCUCAAUCUCACAGUCUAACGCAUCCAGGGGCAUUCCAUCUCAAUCUCUCAGUCUACAAUCGAGUUUCUCCUUAUUGUGAAGCAAACAAAAGGGGCAUUCUAUCGCAAAACGAGUUGUGGUGGGAAGCUCGUUUUCCAGAGCAACAAGAACAGAGUCAGUGGGCCUAAGUGUCUUGUUACCGGAAAGAGAAUCCAAGGGAUAUCAGAAUAUAUAUUCUCAUCCAUGCUGCAAAAUAACAAAGAAGACUGCAGCAUUUAUAAAUUCACAUAAGCUUCAAAAGGCUGAACAAAUUAUAUUAAGUUCUACAAGCUCCAUGGCAGUGGCCUUUUGAACGGAUUAGCAUACCAACCUUAAAUGGAGUAAAAAAUGAGUGGGAGAAGCAUUCAGUUAUCACUUGAUCCCUAUGCUUCAAGUUUCUAUAGUAGUCCACAGGAGGUUUGUAUAAGGGAGGAUGAUGAUGAAGUUGAGCUACAAGUAGCAAGAAAGAGGUUGAUAGAUGUUAUGAGGCUUGGAGUUGGACAAGGACUUACCCAUUCAAUUUGACAUGAAAUGUUACAGGAAGAUCAAGCUCGUUUGAUGAUCCAAGGAUUCAAAAGGUUGUUACACAACGAUAGAGAAAUUAUUGAUGGAGAAGUUAACAAGACAUUGAAGACAUUUGACACUUCUUUUAUUAUGUUUAUUGUUAAAAAUAAGAACAUCAUGCUAUUACUUUUUUGUUGGAAACAUUAAUUACUUUAAUUAAAUGAUACAUGUUUUUUGUGUUUGCAUUUGCAUAUGAAAAAAAAUUAAAAUUUACAAGUAUCUUAUGACAGGUUAUAUCAAUGAUUUGAUAAUUAUGCAAUUAUCUUAUGACAGGUUAUAUUGAUGGUUUGAUAACUAUACAGUUAUCUUUAUGACAUGUUAUAUUGAUGGUUUGAUAACUAUACAAUUAUCUUUAUGAUAGGUUAUAUCGAUGGUUUAAUAACUCUACAGUUAUCUUUAUAACAAGUUAUAUUGAUAAUUUGAUAGUUAUAUAAUUAUCUUUAUGACAGGUUAUAUUGAUGGUUUGAUAACUAUACAGUUAUCUUUAUGACAGGUUAUAUUGAUGGUUUGAUAACUAUACGGUUAUCUUAUAAUAGGUUAUAUCAAUAGUUUGAUAACCAUUCAAUUAUUUUAUAGCAGGUUAUAAUACACCAUUGUGAUAGGUAUUAUGUAAUUACGGUUAUCUCUAUAAACCGUUGCAAUAGGUACUUGAUAACUACGGUGUUCUUUAUAAACUGUUGCGAUAGGCAUUCUGUAACAAUGGUUUUCUUUAUAAACCGUUGUGAUAGGUAUUCUGUAGCAACGGUUUUCUAUAUAAACUGUUACGAUAGGCGUUCUGUAACCAUGGCUUUCUCUAUAAACCGUUGCAAUAGGCAUUCUAUAGCAACGGUUUUCUCUAUAAACCAUUGCGAUAUACAUUCUAUAACAAUGGUUUUCUCUAUAAACCGUUGCGAUAGACAUUUUGUAGCAACGAUUAUUUCUAUAAACCAUUGCUAUAGACAUUUUCUAGUUACGGUUUUCCCUAUAAACCGUUGCGAUAGACAUUUUCUAGCUAUGGUUUUCUUUAUAAACCAUUGUGAUAGACAUUUUCUAGCUACGGUUUUCAUGAAAAACCGUUGCGAUUGACAUUUUCUAGCUAUGGUUUUCAUGAAAAACCGUUGCGAUAGACAUUUUUUAGCUAUGGUUUUCAUGAAAAACCGUUGCGAUAGACAUUUUCUAGCUACAGUUUUCAUGAAAAACCGUUGCGGUAAACAUUCUGAAGCUACGGUUUUCAUAAAAAUCAUUGCAAUAAGAGGACUAAUUUUCUUUUUAAAAAUGUUUUUUGCUACGGUUUCGUCUAUUGCUAUAGGUACUUUUGCAACGGUUUUUAUAAUGUUAUAGCAACAGACAAUGUCCAUUGCUAAAUGAUAGCUCUAGCAACAGUUUUCUGAAACCGUAGUGAGAACCUAUCGCCACGGUGAAAGAGGCAUCGGUUUUGUGUCCGUUGCGAGUUCGUUGCUAGAAGUCUUUAGCAACGGUUUUUGGUACUUCUAGCAAACCGUUGCUAGAAGUCAAUUUUCCUGUAGUGUGAAGGAAAUAUUUGUGGGCAGAAAUAUUCAUCUUUGUUUCUUUUUUGGCAGGAUGUCAUGAAACAGACAUACCAGAAAGUCAUCAAAGCAGCAAUAGACUUUGGGUAUCAGAAAGAAUCUCCUGAAUACCACCAACACUGAAAUCACCAAAGCUUGGUAGGCAUAAGGGCUUACUUGUGGAAGGUUUUGAAGGAAGUAGCAGUAGAAUAGACAUGCUGAGUCUUGAUUUGAAAAGCUCCCAAUGGCAUUGUGAAGGGAACAUCUCUUGUACAAACCAAGAAUUUAUCAAUUUGAAACUGAAGUAUAUUUGACUCAAAAGUUUUGAAUGGAUAAUAGAUUUUUAAAUUUUA